CUUUCCUCUGCGAGUGUUUGAGUAUGCACUGUUAUAAAUAUUUUGUUCAUUUUCAGAGGGAAACACUCACUCAAAAAAUGCUGUUUUUAUUUAUUAUUAUUUUCAGGAGAAAGAAAGUGCUGUUUUUCAGCUGCAUUUAUUGACACUUUUAAUAAACCAACAAAAUUUGAAAGGCAAAUUUCUCUGCAGCUCAUGAAUAUGGGUGUAACUGGAACUGCCCUGAAUUCCUCUGCUGCUCUUUCAGUGGUAAUGAACUGAAGAGAUUGAAUGAGACUUCAUUCAGAGAAAUGAUCAGGAUCUAGAACAUAAUGUUUCCUAGCGGAGUUUAUGAAAGGAAGCUUCACUCUCAUACUCAUUUCAGGUGGGAGGAUAAAACUUGAAGAUCCUGUUGUGCGUUUUCAGUAAUGACAGGACUGUGUAUUGACACAAUGACAGCUGGAAUGUUUGAUACAUAAUUCAGGGAAGUGUUUCACUUGAGGAUCAGAACGAAAACAUCAAUGAAAGAAGAAGCUUCCCUCUCAUACUCAUGUCAGGAUGAGGACAUUCGCUGGAAACUCUGCAUUCUUGACGUACUUGACAGUGACGAUAAACUAGACAAGUGUGUUGAGCUGUGUGAGAGUUGAGAGUCAGAAAAUGUUUAAAUAUGUGACUCUAUAAGAACUGUGGCGAGAUGUGUCAAGAAAUAUCUGCAAACUACAGUAUGUGAAAAGUUUUAGACACUUUUUUCACACUUGUGAAAAAUUCUGUAAAGUAAAAAACAUGAAUUUAUUUUUUUAACAACCUUAAAUUUAAAUAAGUUAAAUAAAUCAAAUCAAUAUUGACCACCCUUUGCCUUUAAA